GCUUUGUGAUGGCCCCCAAGCGUAGGUGAGGUAGGCGCACGGCGGUGACAAGGCAUGCGGCCAGUGGAACUGCCUUACAGUUACAGCCCGCCCAAGCGCGGUUGUUGCCUUGCCAUGAUUUCCGUGCAGUCUGCUAGCUUCGGCAGGGACGGUGCCCAUCAGUUCCCGAUGUUGACAAACCAUGCAUCCAGCCGCCCACACGUGCUCUCCGUUCGUCACAUACCGUACUCGAACUCCAAUGUCCGCAGAGCGUGUGCGCGAAAUCCACACGCCACACACGCAAGUGACAGCCGCCCGUCCUUGCACAGCAAGCAUCUCCGCGCACGGUCGCACGCUUCUCUAGCCCCAACGAACCGCAAACCACAAAUCAAGUCACACCCACCUCAGCAUUAGAAGUGCACACCCGCCUAUCGAAUGUCGGAUGAUGAUAAGGCAACAAGUAGGUCUAGAGAAAUGAAAGCUAGUAGGUCUACUGCACCCAUGCAUGGAUGGAAAGAAUCAAUGGACCUGUGGAUAUAGGAUCCGGCCUCCUCAAGGGUCCUCGCGCAUUUACUAAAGAGCCAAGGGGUCUAGUAUGUAAGAAUCAAUGCCAGUCUCAAGUCAAGCACACUGAUGCCGGUUCCUGGCAUCUGGAAUGCCAGAAGGGUCGGAGGAACUUGCACACACAGAACGUACACGUCGUGUCACUGACAGCCCACUCGAGUCUCGUAAACAGAAAACAUAGUGCCCGCUCCUGCAGCGAGCCAAGAUACGGUAACCUCGAUACUUCUUUGUGUGUCACCGCGGUACGCGCACACACACGGAUCCACGGGCUUCCUCUCCGCACUCCUUCUGUCACACCCGUGCGAUAGAUCGUUUCGGACGUCACCUCUCCUCCGUCCCAUUACGAACCUGUAGCCCCAGGCAGCCCUGCGUCCAUUGGCACAGCGCCCCUCGCCACCUGCCACCCUCCCGCUCAGCAAAUAAACGCACGCGCGAGAGCAAAACACCAGCAGGUCCAUAGUAUGGCCAAGGGAGGCUGCCGGUUCCCCGGUCCCAUACAGUCACACAUACAUCUUAUUAAGAAACAUCAGCAGGGUUUAGUUGGCAAGUCUCAGUAGAGAAAUAGACAUCCAUACAUCACCCAAUGCGCGUGGCAAUAUCGCACUGAGUGCUUGCUUGCGCUAGCAAUCCAGCAUCAAGUACGGCCUUUGACACUCCCGCUCGCUCACAUACGGUGAAAUAUCAGUACAGCACGGCAACACUUGCGCGAAUCAGUCCUGACUCCUGCGGUAAACGCCGACUACCGUAGCACGCCCUGCUGUCGUGCUGACAAUGAGAAAUGUGCGGCGGCACAGCCCUGCUGGUUCACUUGAUAGUGGGCCCGAUCAGUAGCUAGUAGCGGCGAUUUGCCUAGCUGUCUAUACUUGCACGCAUACGCUGCAGGCUUUGCCGCCUGCCAUUCAACACACUCCUCAUGCCCUGCUGCUGGCUCGCUUCGAUACUGUACCAUCCACACACGUACGUGUGAGGAGCCCCUCUUGCGCCCGGCCACCAGCACCAAAGCUGCGGCGGCUGCGGCUGCUACUGCUACUGCUGCAUCUUCAAAUGGCGAAGGCAGCAAGCCGCUGGCUGCAGGCUCAUGCAGCUGACGGCGUAACACGGAAGCCAAACGGAACGGAGCGGGCCUUGCCGCUACCAGGCCGCCACCGCUGCCGGUGGCGGGAAGCAGCCGCACGCGCGCUCCAACGCGGCAAACUCCUCCAGCUCCCUUUCCUGCUCGGCCCACGCCGCCGCCGCCAGCUCGAGCGGCCGCCGCUGGGGGUGCCGCCGGUACCGCUGGCAGCUGAUGCCGCCGCCGCCUGCUCCGCCAGGCCCUCCUUCAUCCAGUGUGCGAGCGACCCGAGGUCGAGCUCCUCCUCCUCCUCCUCAACGUCAUCCGCCCAGCGGCGGCCGCUGGGGGUGCCGCCGGUGCCGCUGACAGCUGCCGCCGCCGCCUGCUCCGCCAGGCCCUCCUUCAUCCAGUCUGCGAGCGACCCGAGGUCGAGCUCCUCCUCCGCCUCCUCGUGCGCCUCAACCUCAUCCGCCCAGCUACCGCUCGCGCCACCGCUGCUGCUAAUGCUGGCGCGAGGAGCAAUGCUGCUGCUGCUGCCGUCAGACUCUGACGCUGCCGCGGGCGCGGCCGGUGCGGCUUCCGCCUGCUGCUGCUCGGCCGCCGCGAGCUCCGCCAGUCCCUGCUUCACCCAGGGCGUCUGCUCAAAGAGGUCGCUCAGGUCGAGUCCGUCAGCCUCAUCCUCAUCAUCAUCGCCCCAUCGCGGCGUGGUCGAGCUGCGGUCGACGGUGGAGGUGGAGAUGGGGCUUGCAGCGGCGGCGGGCUUGGUCGGAGCCGCGAGCUUGGGCACCUUGGGCAGGCCGGGCGGCUUCUGCGGGCGCCAGUGGUUGUCGUAGGCAUGGCAAAGCUGGCAGGGGGCGCUCCUGCAGCCAGCAGAUAGGCUGGCAUAGCACCAGCGCAUGCAGGACUUGUGAGGAAAGCAGCAGGCGCUGGGGGCAGGCUCCUGCUGCUCCUGCUGGUGGGCGGCGGCGGAGGGCUCGCUCUCAUCAGAGCCGUGGCCUUGGCUGCGGGGCGUGUGGCGCCAGGCGUCCUGUGCAAACGAGAUCGGGGGAAAAGGAUAGAUGGGGGCGGACAAGCCGUGAGUGCACGGGACGAGGACAAGGGUCGGGGCGCAGAGGGCGGGACAAAGGACCGGGGGUCGGGGACUCGAGCCCCGGCAAAAAAGUCAGGCGCACCGGAAAGGCACGCGCUUUCGGUCAAAGCUGUUGACCGACGCAUUUUACGUGACAAUACAUGCAGCAAUAUGCAGCCAGUGUGGCCGCAGCAGCGCAAGAAGGAAGGCCGAGGAAGCCGAGCGCACUACCGUACUGGCCCGAAAUCUGCAACGCUAUCUAGCCCGCAUCAGAAGCCUAAUGCUUUGCAUGUGGCAUCGGAUACCCAUUGCAGUUGCUCAAGGCUCAAAAUGGCCGUGCCCGAACAUGAAUGGUGCUCACCUGCAUCGGUCGGCUCGGCUCGAAGUCAAGCCCCGGUGCACUUGCGCUUGACCGUGAUGUGGCCAUAGUAGCUCUUGACCGCAACAAGCACUCUUCGCGCGCAGAACUCGAUUCUGCUGCUAGCGCAAUUCUUUCGCUUGACGGAAACUUUUCCUCGCGGUGCCCGGGAGGGAUUCGCGCUAGGAGCUGCUAGUUCGUGACAGUGGUGGUGCUUGCCGCAGCUUUCAUGCGCAUGCGGUGGAAAUCGAGAGAGGUUGCGAACAGCCCUAGAAAUGCUCUUCUUUGCCGUCAGGUGCUCGUAGCUAAGCAGUGGGCGUAAAAGCUGUUUGCGAGAUGUCUUUGCAUCUGUUGAAUGUGCAAUAUGAGCACAGCGCGAAGCUUUUAUCCAGUGGCGGGGACAGUGUCUCGGGCGCCCAUGCAGGCGACACGCGCCCAAUCCCGAGCCUCCCUCCUCGCCUUUACCUUGUCCCUGGACCCGCGCCAUCCGUGUCCCGCUGUUCAAUUCCCGCGUUUCAUACCAGUUCCCCUCCCCUGCGCAGGCCGGUAACCCCUGAUCCCGCCGCUGCCGGGGAUGCAGCCGUGCAGGAUGAGGCCUGAUGAGGUUGACGGCUGGGGAAGUUGGUGUGGGGAAGUUGGUGUAGGUUGGCGGUGAUCCAGCGGGGUGGGUGCCGAUGUGCUAUAGCGGGCGCGAGGCUGUACACGUCAGGAUCUGGCGAGUGUACUGCUUAACACCUACCGCUACGCAGUACUCCGGCUUGCCCCUCCCCCCUCAGGGCGCUCCAUGCCGUGCGCCCCGGAAUGCGGUGUGGGGAUGGGGUGGGGUGGGAUGGACUGGCGGAUGGUGGAAGUAUCAUAUAGGUCUGCUGGGGGCUGCGAGCAGCCAUACUACCGGUCAUGAUAUUGCCUUCGGUAGCUCAGGGCGCCGCGGGCUGGGGGUGGGUAAGUGAGCGGGGAUGGGGGCUCGGACUCAGCGGGGGCACGGACUCAGGGCGUGGAAGCCAGCGAGAAGUGGGCGAGAGUAACGCCGAUGUGCCGGGUGAUGUGCGAGCAGAAUACAGAACGCGGCAUUCGUCAUUACGGGGAAACUAAAACAGAUAGCGCCAACCUUUUGCGCCUCGCGCUUUCGCGCGCAAUUUCCAGGAUCCUCCAACGCGUCGAUUCCUCCGUCUUGCGUCCUUCCGUGCCGGGAGCCUUGAUUAUCGAUACAAUUUGUGAUAUAUUGUAUGUUGCGCUGGAGCUCUAAUGCAAACGCUGCGCUUGUGCGUUUACCCCGCUCUGGCAUAGGGCUUGCGUUUUCAUAAUGUUACGCUUUGCAAUACAUACAUAGAAAGGCGCAUUAUUUGCACGACAAAUUCCGCUGCGCUCGGGUUUCAAGGUUAUAACUCAAGUCAAAACUGGAAUAACCGGGAGGGCCCCCCGCGGCGAGCUCGAUGCGACCGCAAUGGCUAUUGCCCCUCCCCCUUCGGGGGAAGGGGCAAGCCAACCUGGCUUUGUGAUGGCCCCCAAGCGUAGGUGAGGUAGGCGCACGGCGGUGACAAGGCAUGCGGCCAGUGGAACUGCCUUACAGUUACAGCCCGCCCAAGCGCGGUUGUUGCCUUGCCAUGAUUUCCGUGCAGUCUGCUAGCUUCGGCAGGGACGGUGCCCAUCAGUUCCCGAUGUUGACAAACCAUGCAUCCAGCCGCCCACACGUGCUCUCCGUUCGUCACAUACCGUACUCGAACUCCAAUGUCCGCAGAGCGUGUGCGCGAAAUCCACACGCCACACACGCAAGUGACAGCCGCCCGUCCUUGCACAGCAAGCAUCUCCGCGCACGGUCGCACGCUUCUCUAGCCCCAACGAACCGCAAACCACAAAUCAAGUCACACCCACCUCAGCAUUAGAAGUGCACACCCGCCUAUCGAAUGUCGGAUGAUGAUAAGGCAACAAGUAGGUCUAGAGAAAUGAAAGCUAGUAGGUCUACUGCACCCAUGCAUGGAUGGAAAGAAUCAAUGGACCUGUGGAUAUAGGAUCCGGCCUCCUCAAGGGUCCUCGCGCAUUUACUAAAGAGCCAAGGGGUCUAGUAUGUAAGAAUCAAUGCCAGUCUCAAGUCAAGCACACUGAUGCCGGUUCCUGGCAUCUGGAAUGCCAGAAGGGUCGGAGGAACUUGCACACACAGAACGUACACGUCGUGUCACUGACAGCCCACUCGAGUCUCGUAAACAGAAAACAUAGUGCCCGCUCCUGCAGCGAGCCAAGAUACGGUAACCUCGAUACUUCUUUGUGUGUCACCGCGGUACGCGCACACACACGGAUCCACGGGCUUCCUCUCCGCACUCCUUCUGUCACACCCGUGCGAUAGAUCGUUUCGGACGUCACCUCUCCUCCGUCCCAUUACGAACCUGUAGCCCCAGGCAGCCCUGCGUCCAUUGGCACAGCGCCCCUCGCCACCUGCCACCCUCCCGCUCAGCAAAUAAACGCACGCGCGAGAGCAAAACACCAGCAGGUCCAUAGUAUGGCCAAGGGAGGCUGCCGGUUCCCCGGUCCCAUACAGUCACACAUACAUCUUAUUAAGAAACAUCAGCAGGGUUUAGUUGGCAAGUCUCAGUAGAGAAAUAGACAUCCAUACAUCACCCAAUGCGCGUGGCAAUAUCGCACUGAGUGCUUGCUUGCGCUAGCAAUCCAGCAUCAAGUACGGCCUUUGACACUCCCGCUCGCUCACAUACGGUGAAAUAUCAGUACAGCACGGCAACACUUGCGCGAAUCAGUCCUGACUCCUGCGGUAAACGCCGACUACCGUAGCACGCCCUGCUGUCGUGCUGACAAUGAGAAAUGUGCGGCGGCACAGCCCUGCUGGUUCACUUGAUAGUGGGCCCGAUCAGUAGCUAGUAGCGGCGAUUUGCCUAGCUGUCUAUACUUGCACGCAUACGCUGCGGGUGUGCCUCACAUACCAUAAUACCCAGUGCUGCUUCUUUCGCAUAUAACACACGCUCAGCAUGCCCUGCUGGCUCACUUCGAUACUGUGCCAUCCACACACGUACGUGUGACGAGCCCCUCUUGCGAACGGCCGCCGGCACCACAGCUGCGGCGGCUGCGGCUGCUGCUGCUCCUGCUGCUGCUACUGCUACUGCUGCAUCUUCAAAUGGCGAGGGCAGCAAGCCGCUGGCUGCAGGGCUCAUGCAGCUGACGGCGUAACACGGAAGCCAAACGGAACGGAGCGGCCCUUGCCGCUACCAGGCCGCCACCGCUGCCGGUGGCGGGAAGCAGCCGCACGCGCGCUCCAACGCGGCAAACUCCUCCAGCUCCCGCUCCUGCUCAGCCCACGCCGCCGCCGCCAGCUCCAUCGCCAGGCGCAGGCGCGAGGGCAUCACAGCUGACUGCCACUCAUCACCCUGCUGCACCGCCGCGAUCGGCGGAACGACACAGCUGCCCAUGCUGCUGCCGGCGGCGGUGCAGGCCUCCUUGUCAGCGCUAUGCUCCUCCACUGCCGCCUCCACCAACUCCACCUGCUGCGGCGUCUCACUGCCUGCCGCCGCCGCCACCCAGACCAGACUGCAGCUGCUGGCGCUGCGGCUGGUGCGGGCGCUGUCCGGCACGGCGCAGCAGCACGAGCUGAGCGGCGAGUCAGGCGCGUCCAGCCGCUCAGUGACGACGGCCACCUCCUGCGCCGCUUCGGCCGCCGCCGGCACGCACUCGCCCUGGGCCUCUGCUUUCCCCAUCGCCGCCAGCUCCGCCGCCAUCCAGGGCGACAGCGAGGCGAGGUAGGCGCCGAAAUCGCCGGCCUCCUCCGCCUCAACGUCAUCCGCCCAGCGGCGGCCGUUGGGGAUGCCGCCGGUGCCGCUGGCAGCUGCCGCCGCCGCCUGCUCCGCCAGGCCCUCCUUCAGCCAAUCUGCGAGCGACCCGAGGUCGAGCUCCUCCUCCGCCUCCUCAUGCGCCUCAACCUCAUCCGCCCAGCUACCGCUCGCGCCACCGCUGCUGCUAAUGCUGGCGCGAGGAGCAAUGCUGCUGCUGCUGCUGCUGCUGCUGCUGCCGUCAGACUCUGACGCUGCCGCGGGCACGGCCGGUGCGGCUUCCGCCUGCUGCUGCUCGGCCGCCGCGAGCUCCGCCAGUCCCUGCUUCACCCAGGGCGUCUGCUCAAAGAGGUCGCUCAGGUCGAGUCCGUCAGCCUCAUCCUCAUCAUCAUCGCCCCAUCGCGGCGUGGUCGAGCUGCGGUCGACGGUGGAGGUGGAGAUGGGGCUUGCAGCGGCGGCGGGCUUGGUCGGGGCGGCGGGCUUGGUCGGAGCCGCGAGCUUGGGCACCUUGGGCAGGCCGGGCGGCUUCUGCGGGCGCCAGUGGUUGUCGUAGGCAUGGCAAAGCUGGCAAGGGGCGCUCCUGCAGCCAGCAGAUAGGCUGGCAUAGCACCAGCGCAUGCAGGACUUGUGAGGAAAGCAGCAGGCGCUGGGGGCGGGCUCCUGCUGCUCCUGCUGGUGGGCGGCGGCGGAGGGCUCGCUCUCAUCAGAGCCGUGGCCUUGGCUGCGGGGCGUGUGGCGCCAGGCGUCCUGUGCAAACGAGAUCGGGGGAAAAGGAUAGAUGGGGGCGGACAAGCCGUGAGUGCACGGGACGAGGACAAGGGUCGGGGCGCAGAGGGCGGGAGAAAGGGCCGGGGGUCGGGGGCUCGGGCCCCGGCAAAAAAGUCAGGCGCACCGGAAAGGCACGCGCUUUCGGUCAAAGCUGUUGACCGACGCAUUUUACGAGACAAUACAUGCAGCAAUAUGCAGCCAGUGUGGCCGCAGCAGCGCAAGAAGGAACGCCGAGGAAGCUGAGCGCACUACUGGCCCGAAAUCUGCAACGCUAUCUAGCCCGCAUCAGAAGCCUAAUGCUUUGCAUGUGGCAUCGGAUACCCAUUGCAGCUGCUCAAGGCUCAAAAUGGCCGUGCCCGAACAUGAAUGGUGCUCACCUGCAUCGGUCGGCUCGGCUCGAAGUCAAGCCCCGGUGCACUUGCGAUUGACCGUGAUGUGGCCAUAGUAGCUCUCGACCGCACCAAGCACUCUUCGCGCGCAGAACUCGAUUCUGCUGCUAGCGCAAUUCUUUCGCUUGACGGAAACUUUUCCUCGCGGUGCCCGGGAGGGAUUCGCGCUAGGAGCUGCUAGCUCGUGACAGUGGUGGUGCUUGCCGCAGCUUUCAUGCGCAUGCGGUGGAAAUCGAGAGAGGUCGCGAACAGCCCUAGAAAUGCUCUUCUUUGCCGUCAGGUGCUCGUAGCUAAGCAGUGGGCGUAAAAGCUGUUUGUGAGAUGUCUUUGCAUCUGUUGAAUGUGCAAUAUGAGCACAGCGCGAAGCUUUUAUCCAGUGGCGGGGACAGGGUCUCGGGCGCCCAUGCAGGCGACACGCGCCCAAUCCCGAGCCUCCCACUCCUCGCCUGUACCUUGUCCCUGGACCCGCGCCAUCCGUGUCCCGCUGUUCAAUUCCCGCGUUUCAUACCAGCUCCCCUCCCCUGCGUAGGCCGGUAACCCCUGAUCCCGCCGCUGCCGGGGAUGCAGCCGUGCAGGAUGAGGUUGACGGCUGGGGAAGUUGUUGUGGGGAAGUUGGUGUAGGUUGGCGGUGAUCCAGCGGGGUGGGUGCCGAUGUGCUAUAGCGGGCGCGAGGCUGUACACGUCAGGAUCUGGCGAGUGUACUGCUCAAGCUGGCUUUGUGAUGGCCCCCAAGCGUAGGUGAGGUAGGCGCACGGCGGUGACAAGGCAUGCGGCCAGUGGAACUGCCUUACAGUUACAGCCCGCCCAAGCGCGGUUGUUGCCCUGCCAUGAUUUCCGUGCAGUCUGCUAGCUUCGGCAGGGACGGUGCCCAUCAGUUCCCGAUGUUGACAAACCAUGCAUCCAGCCGCCCACACGUGCUCUUCGUUCGUCACAUACCGUACUCGAACUCCAAUGUCCACAGAGCGUGUGCGCGAAAUCCACACGCCACACACGCAAGUGACAGCCGCCCGUCCUUGCACAGCAAGCAUCUCCGCGCACGGUCGCACGCUUCUCUAGCCCCAACGAACCGCAAACCACAAAUCAAGUCACACCCACCUCAGCAUUAGAAGUGCACACCCGCCUAUCGAAUGUCGGAUGAUGAUAAGGCAACAAGUAGGUCUAGAGAAAUGAAAGCUAGUAGGUCUACUGCACCCAUGCAUGGAUGGAAAGAAUCAAUGGACCUGUGGAUAUAGGAUCCGGCCUUCUCAAGGGUCCUCGCGCAUUUACUAAAGAGCCAAGGGGUCUAGUAUGUAAGAAUCAAUGCCAGUCUCAAGUCAAGCACACUGCUGCCGCUUCCUGGCAUCUGGAAUGCCGGAAGGGUCGGAGGAACUUGCACCCACAGAACGUACACGUCGUGUCACUGACAGCCCACUCGAGUCUUGUAAACAGUAAGAAUAGUGCCCGCUCCUGCAGCGAGCCAAGAUACGGUAACCUCGAUACUUCUUUGUGUCUCACCGCGGUACGCGCACAGACAUUAAUCUGCGGGCUCCCUCUCCGCACUCCUUCUGUCACUCCCGUGCGUCAGGUCGUUUCCGACGUCGCCUCCACUCCAUCUCCUACGUCCCAUGACUCACCUGUAGCCCCAGGCAGCCCUGCGUCCAUUGGCACAGCGCCCCUCGCCACCUGCCACCCUCUCGCUCAGCAAAUGAACGCACGCACGAUAGCAAAACACCAGCAGUCCGUAGUAUGGCCAAGGGGGGCUGCCGGUUCCCCGGUCCCAUACAGUCACACAUACAUCUUAUUAAGAAACAUCAGCAGGGUUUAUUUGGCGAGUCUCAGUAGAGAAAUAGACAUCCCUACAUCACCCAAUGCGCAUGGCAAUAUCGCACUGAGUGCUUGCUUGCGCAAGCAAUCCAGCAUCAAGUGCGGCCUUUGACACUCCCGCUCGCUCACAUACGGUGUAUUAUCAGUACAGCACGGCAACACUCGCGCGAAUCAGUCCUGUCUCCUGCGGUAAACGCCGACUACCGUAGCACGCCCUGCUGUCGUGCUGACAAUGAGAAAUGUGCGGCGGCACAGCCCUGCUGGUUCACUUGAUAGUGAAUGGGCCCGAUCAGUAGCUAGUAGCGGCGAUUAGCCUAGCUGUCUAUACUUGCACGCAUACGCUGCGGGUGUGCCUCACAUACCAUAAUACCCAGUGCUGCUUCUUUCGCAUAUAACACACGCUCAGCAUGCCCUGCUGGCUCACUUCGAUACUGUGCCAUCCACACACGUACGUGUGACGAGCCCCUCUUGCGAACGGCCGCCGGCACCACAGCUGCGGCGGCUGCGGCUGCUGCUGCUCCUGCUGCUGCUACUGCUACUGCUGCAUCUUCAAAUGGCGAGGGCAGCAAGCCGCUGGCUGCAGGGCUCAUGCAGCUGACGGCGUAACACGGAAGCCAAACGAAACGGAGCGGCCCUUGCCGCUACCAGGCCGCCACCGCUGCCGGUGGCGGGAAGCAGCCGCACGCGCGCUCCAACGCGGCAAACUCCUCCAGCUCCCGCUCCUGCUCAGCCCACGCCGCCGCCGCCAGCUCCAUCGCCAGGCGCAGGCGCGAGGGCAUCACAGCUGACUGCCACUCAUCACCCUGCUGCACCGCCGCGAUCGGCGGAACGACACAGCUGCCCAUGCUGCUGCCGGCGGCGGUGCAGGCCUCCUUGUCAGCGCUAUGCUCCUCCACUGCCGCCUCCACCAACUCCACCUGCUGCGGCGUCUCACUGCCUGCCGCCGCCGCCACCCAGACCAGACUGCAGCUGCUGGCGCUGCGGCUGGUGCGGGCGCUGUCCGGCACGGCGCAGCAGCACGAGCUGAGCGGCGAGUCAGGCGCGUCCAGCCGCUCAGUGACGACGGCCACCUCCUGCGCCGCUUCGGCCGCCGCCGGCACGCACUCGCCCUGGGCCUCUGCUUUCCCCAUCGCCGCCAGCUCCGCCGCCAUCCAGGGCGACAGCGAGGCGAGGUAGGCGCCGAAAUCGCCGGCCUCCUCCGCCUCAACGUCAUCCGCCCAGCGGCGGCCGUUGGGGGUGCCGCCGGUGCCGCUGGCAGCUGCCGCCGCCGCCUGCUCCGCCAGGCCCUCCUUCAGCCAAUCUGCGAGCGACCCGAGGUCGAGCUCCUCCUCCGCCUCCUCAUGCGCCUCAACCUCAUCCGCCCAGCUACCGCUCGCGCCACCGCUGCUGCUAAUGCUGGCGCGAGGAGCAAUGCUGCUGCUGCUGCUGCUGCUGCUGCUGCUGCUGCUGCUGCUGCCGUCAGACUCUGACGCUGCCGCGGGCACGGCCGGUGCGGCUUCCGCCUGCUGCUGCUCGGCCGCCGCGAGCUCCGCCAGUCCCUGCUUCACCCAGGGCGUCUGCUCAAAGAGGUCGCUCAGGUCGAGUCCGUCAGCCUCAUCCUCAUCAUCAUCGCCCCAUCGCGGCGUGGUCGAGCUGCGGUCGACGGUGGAGGUGGAGAUGGGGCUUGCAGCGGCGGCGGGCUUGGUCGGGGCGGCGGGCUUGGUCGGAGCCGCGAGCUUGGGCACCUUGGGCAGGCCGGGCGGCUUCUGCGGGCGCCAGUGGUUGUCGUAGGCAUGGCAAAGCUGGCAAGGGGCGCUCCUGCAGCCAGCAGAUAGGCUGGCAUAGCACCAGCGCAUGCAGGACUUGUGAGGAAAGCAGCAGGCGCUGGGGGCGGGCUCCUGCUGCUCCUGCUGGUGGGCGGCGGCGGAGGGCUCGCUCUCAUCAGAGCCGUGGCCUUGGCUGCGGGGCGUGUGGCGCCAGGCGUCCUGUGCAAACGAGAUCGGGGGAAAAGGAUAGAUGGGGGCGGACAAGCCGUGAGUGCACGGGACGAGGACAAGGGUCGGGGCGCAGAGGGCGGGAGAAAGGGCCGGGGGUCGGGGGCUCGGGCCCCGGCAAAAAAGUCAGGCGCACCGGAAAGGCACGCGCUUUCGGUCAAAGCUGUUGACCGACGCAUUUUACGAGACAAUACAUGCAGCAAUAUGCAGCCAGUGUGGCCGCAGCAGCGCAAGAAGGAACGCCGAGGAAGCCGAGCGCACUACUGGCCCGAAAUCUGCAACGCUAUCUAGCCCGCAUCAGAAGCCUAAUGCUUUGCAUGUGGCAUCGGAUACCCAUUGCAGCUGCUCAAGGCUCAAAAUGGCCGUGCCCGAACAUGAAUGGUGCUCACCUGCAUCGGUCGGCUCGGCUCGAAGUCAAGCCCCGGUGCACUUGCGAUUGACCGUGAUGUGGCCAUAGUAGCUCUCGACCGCACCAAGCACUCUUCGCGCGCAGAACUCGAUUCUGCUGCUAGCGCAAUUCUUUCGCUUGACGGAAACUUUUCCUCGCGGUGCCCGGGAGGGAUUCGCGCUAGGAGCUGCUAGCUCGUGACAGUGGUGGUGCUUGCCGCAGCUUUCAUGCGCAUGCGGUGGAAAUCGAGAGAGGUCGCGAACAGCCCUAGAAAUGCUCUUCUUUGCCGUCAGGUGCUCGUAGCUAAGCAGUGGGCGUAAAAGCUGUUUGUGAGAUGUCUUUGCAUCUGUUGAAUGUGCAAUAUGAGCACAGCGCGAAGCUUUUAUCCAGUGGCGGGGACAGGGUCUCGGGCGCCCAUGCAGGCGACACGCGCCCAAUCCCGAGCCUCCCACUCCUCGCCUGUACCUUGUCCCUGGACCCGCGCCAUCCGUGUCCCGCUGUUCAAUUCCCGCGUUUCAUACCAGCUCCCCUCCCCUGCGUAGGCCGGUAACCCCUGAUCCCGCCGCUGCCGGGGAUGCAGCCGUGCAGGAUGAGGUUGACGGCUGGGGAAGUUGGUGUGGGGAAGUUGGUGUAGGUUGGCGGUGAUCCAGCGGGGUGGGUGCCGAUGUGCUAUAGCGGGCGCGAGGCUGUACACGUCAGGAUCUGGCGAGUGUACUGCUCAAGCUGGCUUUGUGAUGGCCCCCAAGCGUAGGUGAGGUAGGCGCACGGCGGUGACAAGGCAUGCGGCCAGUGGAACUGCCUUACAGUUACAGCCCGCCCAAGCGCGGUUGUUGCCCUGCCAUGAUUUCCGUGCAGUCUGCUAGCUUCGGCAGGGACGGUGCCCAUCAGUUCCCGAUGUUGACAAACCAUGCAUCCAGCCGCCCACACGUGCUCUUCGUUCGUCACAUACCGUACUCGAACUCCAAUGUCCACAGAGCGUGUGCGCGAAAUCCACACGCCACACACGCAAGUGACAGCCGCCCGUCCUUGCACAGCAAGCAUCUCCGCGCACGGUCGCACGCUUCUCUAGCCCCAACGAACCGCAAACCACAAAUCAAGUCACACCCACCUCAGCAUUAGAAGUGCACACCCGCCUAUCGAAUGUCGGAUGAUGAUAAGGCAACAAGUAGGUCUACUGCACCCAUGCAUGGAUGGAAAGAAUCAAUGGACCUGUGGAUAUAGGAUCCGGCCUUCUCAAGGGUCCUCGCGCAUUUACUAAAGAGCCAAGGGGUCUAGUAUGUAAGAAUCAAUGCCAGUCUCAAGUCAAGCACACUGCUGCCGCUUCCUGGCAUCUGGAAUGCCGGAAGGGUCGGAGGAACUUGCACCCACAGAACGUACACGUCGUGUCACUGACAGCCCACUCGAGUCUUGUAAACAGUAAGAAUAGUGCCCGCUCCUGCAGCGAGCCAAGAUACGGUAACCUCGAUACUUCUUUGUGUCUCACCGCGGUACGCGCACAGACAUUAAUCUGCGGGCUCCCUCUCCGCACUCCUUCUGUCACUCCCGUGCGUCAGGUCGUUUCCGACGUCGCCUCCACUCCAUCUCCUACGUCCCAUGACUCACCUGUAGCCCCAGGCAGCCCUGCGUCCAUUGGCACAGCGCCCCUCGCCACCUGCCACCCUCUCGCUCAGCAAAUGAACGCACGCACGAUAGCAAAACACCAGCAGUCCGUAGUAUGGCCAAGGGGGGCUGCCGGUUCCCCGGUCCCAUACAGUCACACAUACAUCUUAUUAAGAAACAUCAGCAGGGUUUAUUUGGCGAGUCUCAGUAGAGAAAUAGACAUCCCUACAUCACCCAAUGCGCAUGGCAAUAUCGCACUGAGUGCUUGCUUGCGCAAGCAAUCCAGCAUCAAGUGCGGCCUUUGACACUCCCGCUCGCUCACAUACGGUGUAUUAUCAGUACAGCACGGCAACACUCGCGCGAAUCAGUCCUGUCUCCUGCGGUAAACGCCGACUACCGUAGCACGCCCUGCUGUCGUGCUGACAAUGAGAAAUGUGCGGCGGCACAGCCCUGCUGGUUCACUUGAUAGUGGGCCCGAUCAGUAGCUAGUAGCGGCGAUUUGCCUAGCCGUCUAUACUUGCACGCAUACGCUGCGGGUGUGCCUCACAUACCAUAAUACCCAGUGCUGCUUCUUUCGCAUAUAACACACGCUCAGCAUGCCCUGCUGGCUCACUUCGAUACUGUACCAUCCACACACGUACGUGUGACGAGCCCCUGUUGCAAAAGGCCGCCGGCACCACAGCUGCGGCUGCUGCGGCUGCUGCUGCCGCUGCUACUGCUGCAUCUUCAAAUGGCGAAGGCAGCAAGCCGCUGGCUGCUGGGCUCAUGCAGCUGACGGCGUAACACGGAAUGAAGCCAAACGGAACGGAGCGGCCCUUGCCGCUACCAGGCCGCCACCGCUGCCGGUGGCGGGAAGCAGCCGCACGCGCGCUCCAACGCGGCAAACUCCUCCAGCUCCCGCUCCUGCUCGGCCCACGCCGCCGCCGCCAGCUCGAUCGCCAGGCGCAGGCGCGAGGGCAUCACAGCUGACUGCCACUCAUCACCCUGCUGCACUGCCGCAAUUGGCGGAACGACACAGCUGCCCAUGCUGCUGCCGGCGGCGGUGCAGGCCUCCUUGUCAAUGCUCUGCCGCUCCGCUGCCACCUCCACCGCCUCCACCUGCUGCGGCGUCUCACUGCCUGCCGCCGCCGCCACCCAGACCAGACUGCAGCUGCUGGCGCUGCGGCUGGUGCGGGCGCUGUCCGGCACGGCGCAGCAGCACGAGCUGAGCGGCGAGUCAGGCGCGUCCGGCCGCUCAGUGACAACGGCCACCUCCUGCUCCGCUUCGGCCGCCGCCGGCACGCACUCGCCCUGGGCCUCUGCUUUCCCCAUCGCCGCCAGCUCCGCCGCCAUCCAGGGCGACAGCGAGGCGAGGUAGGCGCCGAAAUCGUCGGCCUCCUCCUCCUCGACGUCAUCCGCCCAGCGGCGGCCGCUGGGGGUGCCGCCGGUGCCGCUGGCAGAUCCCGCCGCCGCCUGCUCCGCCAGGCCCUCCUUCAACCAAUCUGCAAGCGACCCGAGGUCGAGCUCCUCCUCCUCCUCCGCCUCCUCGUGCGCCUCGACUUCAUCCGCCCAGCUACCGCUCGCGCCACCGCUGCUGCUAAUGCUGGCGCGAGGAGCAAUGCUGCUGCUGCUACUGCUGCUGCUGCUGCCGUCAGACUCUGACGCUGCCGCGGGCGCGGCCGGUGCGGCUUCCGCCUGCUGCUGCUCGGCCGCCGCGAGCUCCGCCAGUCCCUGCUUCACCCAGGGCGUCUGCUCAAAGAGGUCGCUCAGGUCGAGUCCGUCAGCCUCAUCCUCAUCAUCAUCGCCCCAUCGCGGCGUGGUCGAGCUGCGGUCGACGGUGGAGGUGGAGAUGGGGCUGGCAGCGGCGGCGGGCUUGGUCGGGGCGGCGGGCUUGGUCGGAGCCGCGAGCUUGGGCACCUUGGGCAGGCCGGGCGGCUUCUGCGGGCGCCAGUGGUUGUCGUAGGCAUGGCAAAGCUGGCAGGGGGCGCUCCUGCAGCCAGCAGAUAGGCUGGCAUAGCACCAGCGGAUGCAGAACUUGUGGGGAAAGCAGCAGGCGCUGGGGCCGGGCUCCUGCUGCUCCUGCUGGUGGGCGGCGGCGGAGGGCUCGCUCUCAUCAGAGCCAUGGCCUUGGCUGCGGGGCGUGUGGCGCCAGGCGUCCUGUGCAAACGAGAUCGGGGGAAAGGAUAGAUGGGGGCGGACAAGCCGUGAGUGCACGGGACGAGGACAAGGGUCGGGGCGCAGAGGGCGGGACAAAGGGCCGGGGGUCGGGGGCUCGAGCCCCGGCAAAAAAGUCAGGCGCACCGGAAAGGCACGCGCUUUCGGUCAAAGCUGUUGACCGACGCAUUUUACGAGACAAUACAUGCAGCAAUAUGCAGCCAGUGUGGCCGCAGCAGCGCAAGAAGGAAGGCUGAGGAAGCAGAGCGCACUACUGACCCGAAAUCUGCAACGCUAUAUAGCCCGCAUCCGAAGCCUAAUGCUUUGCAUGUGGCAUCAGAUACCCAUUGCAGCUGCUCAAGGCUCAAAAUGGCCGUGCCCGAACAUGAAUGGUGCUCACCUGCAUCGGUCGGCUCGGCUCGAAGUCAAGCCCCGGUGCACUUGCAAUUGACCGUGAUGUGGCCAUAGUAGCUCUUGACCGCACCAAGCACUCUUCGCGCGCAGAACUCGAUUCUGCUGCUAGCGCAAUUCUUUCGCUUGAUGGAGUUUCCUCGCGGUGCCCGGGAGGGAUUCGCGCUAGAAGCUGCUAGUUCGUGAUAGUGGUGGUGCUUGCCGCAGCGUUCAUGCGCAUGCGGUGGAAAUCGAGAGAGGUCGCGAACAGCCCUAGAAAUGCUCUUCUUUGCCGUCGAUAAGCUCAGGUGCUCGUAGCUAAGCAGUGGGCGUAAAAGCUGUUUGCGGGAUGUCUUUGCAUCUGUUGAUUGUGCAAUAUGAGCACAGCGCGAGAAGCUUUUAUCCGGUGGCGGGGACAGGGUCUCGGGCGCCCAUGCAGGCGACACGCGCCUAAUCCCGAGCCUCCCUCCUCGCCUUUACCUUGUCCCUGGACCCGCGCCAUCCGUGCCCCGCUGUUCACUUCCCUCGUUUCAUACCAGUUCCCCUCCCCUGCGUAGGCCGGUAACCCCUGAUCCCGCCGCUGCCAGGGAUGCAGCUGUGCAGGAUGAGGUUGACGGCUGUGGAUUGCAUUGGUUACAAGAGGGACCUGCUGACGCAGUUCACGAGCCAGUGACGUGUGGAAGUUGGUGUAGGUUGGCGGUGAUCCAGCGGGGUGGGUGCCGAUGUGCUAUAGUGGGCGCGAGGCUGUACACGUCAGGACCUGGCGAGUGUACUGCUAAAGCUGACUUUGUGAUGGCCCCCAAGCGUAGGUGAGGUAGGCGCACGGUGGUGACAAGGCAUGCGGCCAGUGGAACUGCCUUACAGUUACAGCCCGCCCAAGCGCGGUUGUUGCCCUGCCAUGAUUUCCGUGGAGUCUCUAGCUCCGGCAGGGACGGUCCCCAUCAGUUCCCGUAGUGGACCAUGCAUCCAGCCGCCCACACGUGCUCUCCGUUCGUCACAUACAGUACUCGAACUCCAAUGUCCACAGAGCGUGUGCGCGAAGUCCACACGCCACACACGCAAGUGGCAGCCGCCCGUCCUUGCACAGCAAGCAUCUCCGCGCACGGUCGCACGCUUCACUAGCCCCAACGAACCGCCUACCACAAAUCAAGUCACACCCACCUCAGCAUUAGGAGUGCACAUCCGCCUGUCGAAUGUCGGAUGAUGAUAGGGCAACAAGUAGGUCUAGAGAAAUGAAAGCUAGUAGGUCUACUGCACCCAUGCAUGGAUGGAAAGAAUCAAUGGACCUUUGGAUAUAGGAUCCGGCCUUCUCAAGGGUCCUCGCGCAUUUACUAAAGAGCCAAGGGGUCUAGUAUGUAAGAAGCAAUGCCAGUCUCAAGUCAAGCACACUGCUGCCGCUUCCUGGCAUCUGGAAUGCCGGAAGGGUCGGAGGAACUUGCACCCACAGAACGUACACGUCGUGUCACUGACAGCCCACUCGAGUCUUGUAAACAGUAGAAAUCGUGCCCGCUCCUGCAGCGAGCCAAGAUACGGUAACCUCGAUACUUCUUUGUGUCUCACCGCGGUACGCGCACAGACAUUAAUCUGCGGGCUCCCUCUCCGCACUCCUUCUGUCACUCCCGUGCGUCAGGUCUUCUCCGACGUCGCCUCCACUCCAUCUCCUACGUCCCAUGACUCACCUGUAGCCCCAGGCAGCCCUGCGUCCAUUGGCACAGCGCCCCUCGCCACCUGCCACCCUCUCGCUCAGCAAAUAAACGCACGCGCGAUAGCAAAACACCAGCAGUCCGUAGUAUGGCCAAGGGGGGCUGCCGGUUCCCCGGUCCCAUACAGUCACACAUACAUCUUAUUAAGAAAAAUCAGCAAGGUUUAUUUGGCGAGUCUCAGUAGAGAAAUAGACAUCCAUACAUCACCCAAUGCGCAUGGCAAUAUCGCACAGAGUGCUUGCUUGCGCAAGCAAUCCAGCAUCAAGUACGGCCUUUGACACUCCCGCUCGCUCACAUACGGUGUAAUAUCAGUACAGCACGGCAACACUCGCGCGAAUCAGUCCUGUGUCCUGCGGUAAACGCCGACUACCGUAGCACGCCCUGCUGUCGUGCUGACAAUGAGAAAUGUGCGGCGGCACAGCCCUGCUGGUUCACUUGAUAGUGAAUGGGCCCGAUCAGUAGCUAGUAGCGGCGAUUUGCCUAGCUGUCUAUACUUGCACGCAUACGCUGCGGGUGUGCCUCACAUACCAUAAUACCCAGUGCUGCUUCUUUCGCAUUUAACACACGCUCAGCAUGCCCUGCUGGCUCACUUCGAUACUGUGCCAUCCACACACGUACGUGUGACGAGCCCCUCUUGCGAACGGCCGUCGGCACCACAGCUGCGGCGGCUGCGGCUGCGGCUGCUGCUGCUCCUGCUGCUGCUACUGCUACUGCUGCAUCUUCAAGUGGCGAAGGCAGCAAGCCGCUGGCUGCUGGGCUCAUGCAGCUGACGGCGUAACACGGAAGCCAAACGGAACGGAGCGGCCCUUGCCGCUACCAGGCCGCCACCGCUGCCGGUGGCGGGAAGCAGCCGCACGCGCGCUCCAACGCGGCAAACUCCUCCAGCUCCCGCUCCUGCUCGGCCCACGCCGCCGCCGCCAGCUCGAUCGCCAGGCGCAGGCGCGAGGGCAUCACAGCUGACUGCCACUCAUCACCCUGCUGCACUGCCGCGAUUGGCGGAACGACACAGCUGCCCAUGCUGCUGCCGGCGGCGGUGCAGGCCUCCUUGUCAAUGCUCUGCCGCUCCGCUGCCACCUCCACCGCCUCCACCUGCUGCGGCGUCUCACUGCCUGCCGCCGCCGCCACCCAGACCAGACUGCAGCUGCUGGCGCUGCGGCUGGUGCGGGCGCUGUCCGGCACGGCGCAGCAGCACGAGCUGAGCGGCGAGUCAGGCGCGUCCGGCCGCUCAGUGACAACGGCCACCUCCUGCUCCGCUUCGGCCGCCGCCGGCACGCACUCGCCCUGGGCCUCUGCUUUCCCCAUCGCCGCCAGCUCCGCCGCCAUCCAGGGCGACAGCGAGGCGAGGUAGGCGCCGAAAUCGUCGGCCUCCUCCUCCUCGACGUCAUCCGCCCAGCGGCGGCCGCUGGGGGUGCCGCCGGUGCCGCUGGCAGAUCCCGCCGCCGCCUGCUCCGCCAGACCCUCCUUCAACCAAUCUGCAAGCGACCCGAGGUCGAGCUCCUCCUCCUCCUCCGCCUCCUCGUGCGCCUCGACUUCAUCCGCCCAGCUACCGCUCGCGCCACCGCUGCUGCUAAUGCUGGCGCGAGGAGCAAUGCUGCUGCUGCUACUGCUGCUGCUGCUGCCGUCAGACUCUGACGCUGCCGCGGGCGCGGCCGGUGCGGCUUCCGCCUGCUGCUGCUCGGCCGCCGCGAGCUCCGCCAGUCCCUGCUUCACCCAGGGCGUCUGCUCAAAGAGGUCGCUCAGGUCGAGUCCGUCAGCCUCAUCCUCAUCAUCAUCGCCCCAUCGCGGCGUGGUCGAGCUGCGGUCGACGGUGGAGGUGGAGAUGGGGCUGGCAGCGGCGGCGGGCUUGGUCGGGGCGGCGGGCUUGGUCGGAGCCGCGAGCUUGGGCACCUUGGGCAGGCCGGGCGGCUUCUGCAGGCGCCAGUGGUUGUCGUAGGCAUGGCAAAGCUGGCAGGGGGCGCUCCUGCAGCCAGCAGAUAGGCUGGCAUAGCACCAGCGGAUGCAGGACUUGUGGGGAAAGCAGCAGGCGCUGGGGCCGGGCUCCUGCUGCUCCUGCUGGUGGGCGGCGGCGGAGGGCUCGCUCUCAUCAGAGCCAUGGCCUUGGCUGCGGGGCGUGUGGCGCCAGGCGUCCUGUGCAAACGAGAUCGGGGGAAAGGAUAGAUGGGGGCGGACAAGCCGUGAGUGCACGGGACGAGGACAAGGGUCGGGGCGCAGAGGGCGGGAGCAAGGGCCGGGGGUCAGGGGCUCGAGCCCCGGCAAAAAAAUCAGGCACACACCGGAAAGGCACGCGCUUUCGGUCAAAGCUGUUGACCGACGCAUUUUACGAGACAAUACAUGCAGCAAUAUGCAGCCAGUGUGGCCGCAGCAGCGCAAGAAGGAAGGCCGAGGAAGCCGAGCGCACUACUGGCCCGAAAUCUGCAACGCUAUAUAGCCCGCAUCCGAAGCCUAAUGCUUUGCAUGUGGCAUCAGAUACCCAUUGCAGCUGCUCAAGGCUCAAAAUGGCCGUGCCCGAACAUGAAUGGUGCUCACCUGCAUCGGUCGGCUCGGCUCGAAGUCAAGCCCCGGUGCACUUGCAAUUGACCGUGAUGUGGCCAUAGUAGCUCUUGACCGCACCAAGCACUCUUCGCGCGCAGAACUCGAUUCUGCUGCUAGCGCAAUUCUUUCGCUUGAUGGAGUUUCCUCGCGGUGCCCGGGAGGGAUUCGCGCUAGAAGCUGCUAGUUCGUGAUAGUGGUGGUGCUUGCCGCAGCGUUCAUGCGCAUGCGGUGGAAAUCGAGAGAGGUCGCGAACAGCCCUAGAAAUGCUCUUCUUUGCCGUCGAUAAGCUCAGGUGCUCGUAGCUAAGCAGUGGGCGUAAAAGCUGUUUGCGAGAUGUCUUUGCAUCUGUUGAUUGUGCAAUAUGAGCACAGCGCGAGAAGCUUUUAUCCGGUGGCGGGGACAGGGUCUCGGGCGCCCAUGCAGGCGACACGCGCCCAAUCCCGAGCCUCCCUCCUCGCCUUUACCUUGUCCCUGGACCCGCGCCAUCCGUGUCCCGCUGUUCACUUCCCGCGUUUCAUACCAGUCCCCCUCCCCUGCGUAGGCCGGUAACCCCUGAUCCCGCCGCUGCCAGGGAUGCAGCUGUGCAGGAUGAGGUUGACGGCUGUGGAAGUUGGUGUGUGAUGGGACAGGGUUCAGGCAGGUUGGCGAGGUCCCAUAGGGUGCAGCUGACGCCCGUACCCCAAGCAGACAGCAAACAGUUUGCAGCGGCAGAGCAGGAGUGCAUGGCUGGUCGAACGCCGGAGUUACUGUACCGACAAGUUGCUGGCUGGCUGGAAGUUGGUGUAGGUUGGCGGUGAUCCAGCGGGGUGGGUGCCGAUGUGCUAUAGCGGGCGCGAGGCUGUACACGUCAGGACCUGGCGAGUGUACUGCUAAAGCUGGCUUUGUGAUGGCCCCCAAGCGUAGGUGAGGUAGGCGCACGGUGGUGACAAGGCAUGCGGCCAGUGGAACUGCCUUACAGUUACAGCCCGCCCAAGCGCGGUUGUUGCCCUGCCAUGAUUUCCGUGGAGUCUGCUAGGCAGUCGGCAGGGACGGUGCCCAUCAGUUCCCGAAGUGGACAAACCAUGCAUCCAGCCGCCCACACGUGCUCUCCGUUCGUCACAUACAGUACUCGAACUCCAAUGUCCACAGAGCGUGUGCGCGAAGUCCACACGCUACACACGCAAGUGGCAGCCGCCCGUCCUUGCACAGCAAGCAUCUCCGCGCACGGUCGCACGCUUCACUAGCCCCAACGAACCGCCUACCACAAAUCAAGUCACACCCACCUCAGCAUUAGGAGUGCACAUCCGCCUGUCGAAUGUCGGAUGAUGAUAGGGCAACAAGUAGGUCUAGAGAAAUGAAAGCUAGUAGGUCUACUGCACCCAUGCAUGGAUGGAAAGAAUCAAUGGACCUGUGGAUAUAGGAUCCGGCCUUCUCAAGGGUCCUCGCGCAUUUACUAAAGAGCCAAGAGGUCUAGUAUGUAAGAAUCAAUGCCAGUCUCAAGUCAAGCACACUGCUGCCGCUUCCUGGCAUCUGGAAUGCCGGAAGGGUCGGAGGAACUUGCACCCACAGAACGUACACGUCGUGUCACUGACAGCCCACUCGAGUCUUGUAAAC
rnacentral:lncRNA from 1 species